UUUUGCAAUCUAAUGGCUGUUUUUUGUUUUCACCCCCCCAAAAAAACUGUAUUUUAUUUUUCACUGUUAAACUGUUAUUGUAUUUUUAUUUAAUUUUAUUGUAACAUAAUGUAAUGAAAACAAGUCAGCCAAAGUUCAGAGUUUCUAAGUAUCGUACAUGACGCUGCCAGCGCUGACAGCAGCUCGUAUUACUGUAAAUGUCCAACGACAGAAGAAGUUUUAUACUUUUAAGUUUGCACUCAACAAUAGAAAAAGAAUACAUCCUAAACAUCGUUCAACCCACAGAACUUUAUUUAAAAAAUUCAACUGGAGAUCACAAAGUAUUUUGAAAUGUGUUUUAAAUGGUGCUCAAAACUUCCUGUGCAAAACUAACCAUAACUUUGUAGAGUUUGAUUGAAUGAUGCAGCCAUAAAAAAAACACGUCUUUCAUGGUGUGAUUCAACAAAGCGAAUCUAAAUGAACUCCUGAUUAACAGGUAAACAGCUAGCUCCACAAAGUUCAGCCUCUAAUUGUUUCUUACAGCAAUGUUCUCUGGGAGUUGUAGUUGUCUCCUAAUUAGGGUUUUUUCUUUGUGAGAUUUUACCAGAAAAUGUCUGAUCUGUUGUAAUGAUUUGAGUUUUUUUCUUCUUCAUUUCAUGCUUUAACGCUCCCGUUGUGACCCAGUGGUGUUUACAUUUAUUUGUGUUGCUAUCAGUCUAAAUAUGUUUGUCACAUGAAAGCUUUUAGUGCAGAAAAAUGUGUUGACUCUGUAAUGUAUCACAUGAAUGAUGAUGGUUUGUAUGUAAACACGUGUUCCUGCAGAGGACUCAGGACGGUCCAGUCUGUUUCCACAAGCAAACUGAAAGGACCUUUUAUAAUGCAGAUGGAUUGUGUUUGUAUCUGUAAUGUGCAGAAGAAUCUGUCAUACUUGAAAGGUUGUGCAGAUGUUGAUGACAGUUUUUUUGUGUGUGUGUAUGCGUGUGUGUAUGCGUGUGUGUGUGUGUGUGUGUGUGUGUGUGUGUGUGUGUGUGUGUGUGUAGCCUGUUGGCCGUUUGGAUGUUGUCCCUGUACAGACGAAGUGAACCCAGCAAUCAACAUGUCUGCAAUAUUAACAAUCUACAGUCCAAAUUCCGUUCACAUGGGAUCAGUGCAUUCAGUUUGAUUGAAUUUGUUAUUUAAAAAGUGGAUUAAAAGAAGCACAAGCAUUGCAAAAUGUCAAGGAACAAUUAGCAAUACAAAUGUCAUGAUUGUACGGUCAAACGAGCAAUAUUGGCUUUGAGCUGAUCCCGACCUGCAGCUCCACUCGGCUGUCGUAGACGUGAAAUGUGUGCAGCGACUGAAGUAUUCUGAAUGUAACGUGUUUGGUGUUCUUCGGAUUCCUUCUUUAUGUAUAUUUGUGCUGCCAAGUGUCGCAGGCGGUUCACAUAUUUAUUCACAGAUAAAAACAUUUAAUAAAAGUUAUAAAAUUC